rnacentral:misc_RNA from 1 species
UCCGCCUUGGAGGCGGCAGUCUCCUAUGAAAAAACAACAUAGGAUGAGGGUUGCGCUCGUUCGCUGACUUAACAGUACACCUCAAGGCACGAGCUGACGACGACCGUGCAUCGCCUGUGUGUAGGCUCCUUGCGGCACUCCCGAAUUUCUUCAGGAUUCCUACCAUGUCAAGUCUGGGUGAGGUGCUUCGCUUAUCAUCGAAUUAAACCCCAUGCUCCACCGCUUGUGUGGGUCCCCGUCUAUUCCUUUGAGUUUUAGCCUUGCGGCCGUACUUCCCAGGCGGCGUGCUUACCGCGUUAGCUUAGGGCACGGAGGCAGAUUGAAGCCCCCACACCGAGCACGCAUCGUUUAGGGCGUGGACUAC